CUUGCAUUUCUUUUGACGUUCAUGUUUAUAUAAUUAGAUUACAACUAAGUUUGUGUAUGGCUUGUUUAUAUUAUUUCAGAAUUUGCUAUUUUAGACACUUGGUAUAAGCUGUCAUACUAAUUUGCUGUUAUAGACACGUGGCUUGUGAUAUCCCACUAAUUAGCUAUUUUAAACAUGUGACAAGUGGUAUGACACUGUAUUGAUGUAUGUGAAAUGUAUAGAGUCUUUCAGUUAUCAGAUAAUGUCAAGGAGUUGACAGCAUGGUGUCCGAUUUAAA
rnacentral:lncRNA from 1 species